UGCGAUGUGGCGGCGAAUGGGAAAUUGUGUAGCAGGUGCGCGAGAUACUCGCGCUCCAACCGUAUCAAGUACAAACGCUGGUACCACGAAUCACCUCUCGAGCAUGUACCUCUGCGCUUGCAAUCGAGUUCACGGAAAAAUACGUAUUACCAGCGGAGAGGGGGAGGGGACAAUGACACCGGACGAAGUAAAAUUCUUAGAGCUUGUAAACGGAGAGCAGCUGAAGCCCCCGUCGCGGCGGAUACCAUCCCACAAUGAAUAAAUUUUGAAUAGUUCUCGGGUCGCUGUAACCCAUUUCACCGAAUGUCAACUCUGCAGUGGCAUAGGAAACAAGCUUCGUCUUUUCAGCAUAAAAUGUCAUCUUUAUACGAAAUAUGAGGUUAGAUGAUAAAAAUGAGCUUGGUUUUGCGACAACGCGCAGUGCAGUGUAGUUAUAUUUGUUCAAAAUUUAAUUAUGAAAUGUCCAUAGAACAGAUUAAGUUAUGGCAAUACAAUAUGUCAAAAAUGUGAGUCCCCGUGAAAAAAUCGAGUGCGAAUAAAAAAUUUUCGCGUUCAAUA